UACGUAGGGUGCGAGCGUUCAUCGGAAUCACUGGGCGUAAAGGGCGCGUAGGCGGCUUUGUAAGUCGGGGGUGAAAGCCUGUGGCUCAACCACAGAAUUGCCUUCGAUACUGCAUGGCUUGAGACCGGAAGAGGUAAGUGGAACUGCGAGUGUAGAGGUGAAAUUCGUAGAUAUUCGCAAGAACACCAGUGGCGAAGGCGGCUUACUGGUCCGGUUCUGACGCUGAGGCGCGAAAGCGUGGGGAGCAAACAGG
rnacentral:rRNA from 1 species